UCCUACGGGGGGCAGCAGUGAGGAAUAUUGGUCAAUGGGCGCGAGCCUGAACCAGCCAAGUCGCGUGAGGGAUGACGGUCCUACGGAUUGUAAACCUCUUUUGCCGGGGAGCAAGCGUGCGUUCGUGAACGCGCGUCGAGAGUACCCGGAGAAAAAGCAUCGGCUAACUCCGUGCCAGCAGCCGCGGUAAUACGGAGGAUGCGAGCGUUAUCCGGAUUUAUUGGGUUUAAAGGGUGCGCAGGCGGCACGGCAAGCCGGCGGUCAAAUCGCGGGGCUCAACCCCGCCCAGCCGUCGGAACUGCCGG
rnacentral:rRNA from 1 species